UUCUUUCUCUCUCUCGCUCGACCGAAACCGAAAACAGAGCAAAGGCUCUUCGGUCUCUCUCUACCUCCACCGGCCACCAAACGGCGUCGAACCACUUCCUUUUGCUUCGUCUCAGCCUUGCGCAGCUGCCAGAGGCAGCCUUGCACCGUGACACGGCCACCAGCGGCGGCGGGAAGCUCCGCCCGGUUUGAGCUCGUUUUGGAAACAAGCUUGAUAUCUCAAGCUACCGGUCACCAAUCCUCACCAAAAUCCAUCCACAAGCUCGACUCAACUUCCUGAAACUCCCAGAAGCAGCCUCACACGGCGGCGUGGCCCGUAGCAGUGGCUGCAAGUCAAACCCAACCAAGAACGAGACCGGAGCUAUCGAUCAAGAUAUCUCGAGCUGUAGUGCAUCGUUUUGAUUGAUUCUUUUUCCAGUGGGUUCCCCUUGAUGUUAUUAACAACUCUCUAGAAGGCAUCGAGGCCUGAAAUUGAAGCUUUGACGUCGAAAUCGAGCCUUGCCGGAUUCUGCAAAAUUCUGGAAUUUUUCCGACCACCGAAGCUUUCGAUCGGUAUAUCUCGAGCUACAGACCAUAUUUUUCUGUGAUUCUUGAACCAGUGAGUUCUUCUUGAGUUUCUUAACAACUCUUCAGAAGGAAUCGAAGCCUUAAAUUGACGUUUUUACGUCGAAUUGGAGCUCGCCGUUUUCUGCAGUUUCUCGCCGGUUUCUGGAAAAUUCCGGCCACCUUCAUACUGUUCAAGGUGACCGACGGUUUGAUUUGGCGGACGAUUCGUGAAAUUGUAUUUUGAGCUGUUAAGAAGACGCAGCAGGAAUUUAGAGCGGGUAAUCCUACAGGACAGGAGAACCAGGACGGUGAUCGUGCGGUUAGAGCAAUGGUUAUCGUUUUAUAGCAAUUGUAAUAGUGAGGCGAGUUAAGCUCAUUUGAGCAUUACAAUUUGAUUUGGUGGGAGUGUGCUGUAAUAAAUAACUUGAGGAUUUGGGUUAUUGUAAAUUUGAGAGUUGUGAAGUGUGGUUGUUUGUGAGAAAAAAAUUCAGGAUGUUAGUUGUAAUUUGUUAUUAUUCAUG